rnacentral:rRNA from 1 species
UUCUGGCUCAGGAUGAACGCUAGCUACAGGCUUAACACAUGCAAGUCGAGGGGCAGCAUGAAGUUUGCUGCAAACUUGAUGGCGACCGGCGCACGGGUGAGUAACGCGUAUCCAACCUUCCCUAUACUAGAGGAUAGCCCGGCGAAAGUCGGAUUAAUACUCUAUGUUCUUCGUAGAAGACAUCUGAAAUGAAGCAAAGGUUUACCGGUAUAGGAUGGGGAUGCGUCUGAUUAGGUUGUUGGCGGGGUAACGGCCCACCAAGCCCACGAUCAGUAGGGGUUCUGAGAGGAAGGUCCCCCACAUUGGAACUGAGACACGGUCCAAACUCCUACGGGAGGCAGCAGUGAGGAAUAUUGGUCAAUGGACGAGAGUCUGAACCAGCCAAGUAGCCGUGCAGGAUGACGGCCCUAUGGGUUGUAAACUGCUUUUAUACAGGGAUAAAGUUCACUACGUGUAGUGUUUUGUAGGUACUGUAUGAAUAAGGACCGGCUAAUUCCGUGCCAGCCGCGGC